rnacentral:lncRNA from 10 species
UCCCCCUCUGCUGAGCAAGUGACCCCUGUCACUCUUUCUAGGAAAGUCCCACUGUGGGGAGGAUAGGAAAGAGCAUAACAAUGCCUGCCACCAGGAGGAAGAGGCCCCAGAUGUCAACCCAUUGCAUGGUUUGCAGGCAUCGGGAUCACCGGGAAAGACUCAAAGAAUCAAGUCACAGGCACUGGAGGGAACAAGGCUUUACUCACAUAGCGAAGAGACAAGAUCAGGCUUAAUAGUAAGCAUGGGUCCCCCAUGGCCAGCAGGUCUCACCUUGCAGAUGACGCAGGGAGAUGGUCUGCAUGCACCCUUCUUGUGCUGCAAGUAAAGGACCCGUUUCCUCCAUAGCAGUGUGGUUGGCCAGGGGCCAUAUAACCCAUAUACUUUAAGCAGAACACUGAAGUACACAUCAAGCCCGGAAUAGGGAGAAAUCCUCCCAAAGAAGACAAUAAGCCCAGCACAGGCCAUAAAGGGUCCUUAUCAGCAUGAAAGGAAGUGUGCCAGGCCCAAUGUACAUUCUUACACAGCUUGCAAGGGUCCAACGAACUGCCCAUGACUGCCUUUCCUAACAUCCCACACACCAAAGAGUGGUAGGUUGGUGGGACAGGAUGUGUGUGAAAAAAUACUUAUUGUUUUUGUAAUAUAAACAACAGAAAGUGAAUUUUAACUUAAUCUUCCUGACUGGUGAGGGUGCAAAUGAAAUGCAGUGAUACUCAAGGGGAGUGGCAAACCUAAAGCUGGAAAGGAGACUAUCUAGUGGAGGAGUCUGAUACUGAAAUAAGCCAAUGUUAAGGCAGACUGAGAUAAGUGUGAUAACUUGUCCCAGGAAAGAUGAACAAUGAAGUAUCAAGGUAUCGCCUUUUAAAAUUUUUUAAUAGUAAAUUUUCUAAAUGUAAUACCAGGACAAAAGAGGAAAAAACAUUCUGUGCACUUCAAUAUAAAUAUAAUUCUAAUGCAUUUAUAAGAAUAACCAUAAUUUGCGCUAAUUUGGUUUUAAAACACAUCUGUAAUCCCAAGGACUUUAUUAUUGGUAUGAAAUUUCUGAGGAACUAUCUAUAAGAAAAGAAAAAGAUGAGAAGAGAGACAGAGUAUUAACGGUAUUUGUGUCCACACUUCUAUUCCCUGAAAUUUUCAGUGUAUCCUUGUUUCUAGUAUUUUUUCUGAUUCUGUGAACUACCUCAGUCUCCUUCCAAUAAAUUCCAUUUUGAGUUUAAACUAGUUUGCAUUGGGUUUCUUUCCUUUCAUUCAAACAAAAAAUUCCUUAAGAGCGUAUCUUUAUAGAUAAGACUUUUAAUUCUGGAUUGGGAAUUAGAGUAUCUCAAUUCUACUUAACCUAUGCUAUUUCCUAGUUGGGAAUCCUUGAUAGUCACCCAACCUCUCUGACCUAGUCUUCUGGCUGAGGAGAGAUCCUCAGAGAUCCAUUUCUUAUAAAUCUACAACUCCGACAGGAGAAAGCCUCAUCUGCAGAGUCAGUUAAGAAAUUCUGACCUUCUAGGGUGGGUUAUUUGGAGGCCCCGUUAUUUAACCUUUUGGUUCACAGUUACGUUGAGGUUUAUUAUACUCUUGUAAUGUGUUAUACUUUCCAUAAUUAAAAAAUAAAAAAGGUACAAUUCUUGCUUUCUCAGACCAUAGCAAUGCAAGGAUAACCGGGGAAAUUGAAUAAUAAAAACUGGUUUGGGUCUGGAACUACCUGUGGCUGAGUAGGUAAGUCUGUCUAGUUCUGGAGUUUAGCCUUGGGAAUUCCAUCUGCCUCCAGAUAAAACUCACAUUCUUCUACAUCAACUUCAAUAGUAAUAAAAAUAAUCAUUUCCUCUUCAUCCACCUCAUCCCUGUAUCUUCUUUUUCAAUUCAUUCAGGAAUUUGUUGGAAGAAAAGAAUGCAACUUAUUGGCUUGCUCAGUUUCCUAAAAAUGUUACUAUGCCUGCCUCAUGGAUUGACCUUGGUAUUGCCAUUGGAGCUUCACCUUGUCAGUAUCACACCUCCUGAGAUGGGGAAGGGCUCUCUCAGCAGUGUUGCUGUCACUUACGAGGAUUCACUAACAUGUGAUUUUGUUUUCUCAUUUUUUUAUAGCUCCCUCCAUCAGGAAACUUAAGACCAACUCCAUUUGAUCUGAUCAGAGGACGUCUAUAAGGACCAACACAGUGUCACAUUCAAAAGCAUCUUUCUCCCCCUCCAAUCAACCAGUGUCCUGGGGCCUUCUUACCUCUGGAAUAGAAUCCAUGAAACUGAAAAUGGUUAGACAAAUGGAGCCCCAAAUGAUCACCACUAGCACCUACCAUCGAGGACCCCUAGACUGACCCGCCAACCCAUUCUUGCACUACGACACUGAAGACUCCCCUCCCGAGGAAACCUCAACUGCGGAGCCCCUUCUACCCCGCAGUUCAGCAGGAAGUAGCAAGAACGAUCGUCGCCCAACUUCCAAACAGCACUUGGGCUUUCCUGUUGAGAGGGGACUGAGGGACUAAGUGGCUAAGUUGGCUGGACUCCUUGGGUCAAUAGGGACUUCCCUAAGGGGACGUUACCUAAGCCAAAAUAAAUCAUAGCUGCAAGAGCCAAAAUAAAUCAUAGCUGCAAGCAAAGGAAUUAAAACUUCAACCAAUCAAAGGGGACUUUCCCCUAAGCCAAAAUGAGUCAAAGCUGCAAGAUAAGGGAUUGAAAUUUCAACCAAUUAUAUAGGGAGUUUAAGCUCUAACUGCAGCCUGAUGUUUUAAACCAAUCAGGCCUGCCAACCCACAGGUGGAUAGAAAAUAAGCUAAUUCUAUAGGACAAAAAGAGGAAAGGGGAGGGGUCAUAAGGGGAUAUAAGCAUAAGACAGCCAAGCCACAAACAGCAUCCCUUCUGGGUCCCCUUCCACCGCGUGGAAGCUUUACUUUCACUUUCGCUUUAAUAAAUCUUGCCACUGCACCAAAAAAUAAAAAAUAAAAAAAUAAAAAUAAAGUAAGAUGGUGAAAUAAUGAAAAUUCACAAAACCAAGGCAGAAAGAGUUGUAAGAAAAUAAGAAAAACUGUUUGCUAUAAAUAUGGCUGCAUAUCGGAAGUUUAAUAUCUAAAGUAUAUUGCUUUUAUUCAAACCAGGCUGCCAGUGGGACCAAGACACACACAGACAGUUCAUACACCAGGAAAACCAACAUAAAACCAACAGGCGAAACACUAAACCUUGGAAGUUAAUUAAAGAAAUUCAAAUGGAAACAAUUCUAAGGGGCCAUUUAACACAUACCAGAUAAACAAGUAUAAGAAUAAAUGAUAAAAUCCAGUACUAGUGAGACUGUUGUGAAAUGGUUGCUGGUAAAAGUGUAAAUUGGUUGUUUUUUGGAGUGAAGAGCCACAAGAAUAAUCAUACCAGAAAAUAUAGCCUAUAUGGGCAAUUCAUAAAAAGAACAAAACACAAUUAUAAAAAUAUUUAUAGCUGAAUUAUUUAUAAUAGCUAAAAGUGAAAUUACCAAAAUACUCAAUAUUAGAGAAAUAAUAAAACAAAUAAUGUGAUAUAAACCUAAUAUUCAUUCAUUAGAAAUGAAAACAUGAAGAUUCUGCAAGCAAAGGGAAAUGUGAACUGCAUGGAAGUGUUAGGGGCAAAAGUACUGGAUCUGGAGUCAAAAGAUCUAAAAUUAAGUAACCUUUGGCUAAGAAUUCAACCUCUCUGAACUUUGUUCAUCUUCUAACACAGCAGUUUUCCACCAAUACACAGCAGUUUUCAAAUGUUUUGGCCACUACCUAAAAAUGUUUAAUUUUUUCUUCUUUUGUCAUAAGAGCACUUAACGUAAAAUCUAUCCUCUUAGCAAAUUUUCAGUAUUGUCAGCAUUGGCAAUCAUAUGUCCUAUGUUGGGUAGGAAUGUCCAGAACUUAUUUAUCUUGCAUGACUGAAACUUUGUACCCUUUGACCAACCCUUUUUCUCCACCCCCCCAGUUCCUGGCAACCAUCAUUCUUUCUGCUCCUAUGAGUUUGCCUAUUUUAGAUUCUACAUGUAAGUGAGAUCAGUCAUACCUCAAUAAAGUGGUUGAAAAAAAGGAAAUUUUACAUUGAUUCCUUAUAAACACAAACACAUACACACACACACACACACACGUAAUCACCGGUAAUAAUGGUAGGCCUGGUGCAGUGGCUCACGCCUGUAAUCCCAG